GAUGAACGCUAGCGGCAGGCUUAAUACAUGCAAGUCGAGGGGUAGCAAGAUUGUAGCAAUACAAUUGUUGACGACCGGCAAACGGGUGCGGAACACGUACACAACCUUCCUACAAGUGGGGAAUAGCCCAGAGAAAUUCGGAUUAAUACCCCGUAACAUAGCGAUGUGGCAUCACAUUGCUAUUAUAGCUUCGGCGCUUGUUGAUGGGUGUGCGGCUGAUUAGAUAGUUGGCGGGGUAACGGCCCACCAAGUCUACGAUCAGUAGCUGAUGUGAGAGCAUGAUCAGCAACACGGGCACUGAGACACGGGCCCGACUCCUACGGGAGGCAGCAGUAAGGAAUAUUGGACAAUGGACGCAAGUCUGAUCCAGUCAUGCCGCGUGAAGGAUUAAGGUCCUCUGGAUUGUAAACUUCUUUUAUAAGGGACGAAAAAAGGUCUUUCUAGAUCGUCUGACGGUACCUUAUGAAUAAGCACCGGCUAACUCCGUGCCAGCCGCCGCCGUAACAC
rnacentral:rRNA from 1 species